rnacentral:ncRNA from 1 species
GCUGCAACAGAGCAAAGCCGUCGAAAGACGGUGACGCAGAGCCGCGGGGCUUCAGCGGAAACCAUCCGCCACGCCAGCCGGGCCGCCAGC